UACGUAGGCAGCGAGCGUUGUUCGGAGUUACUGGGCGUAAAGAGUGCGUAGGCGGUUUUCUAAGUUUGGUGUGAAAUCUCCCGGCUUAACUGGGAGGGUGCGCCGAAGACUGGAAGGCUUGAGUAUGGGAGAGGUAGGCGGAAUUCCUGGUGUAGCGGUGAAAUGCGUAGAUAUCAGGAGGAACACCUGCGGUGUAGACGGCUUACUGGACCAUAACUGACGCUGAGGCACGAAAGCGUGGGGAGCGAACAGG
rnacentral:rRNA from 1 species